CACACACCAGGAGCUUUCAGCUUCACACUAGAGGACCCUGGCUAGGACGACCUCACCUCAGUUUGCUGUGAGGCAGCAGUGCUAACAGCGACACCAUCAUGUCACCUUGCAGUGGUCACCUGUUCAGGUGUAUUUUCUCUAUGUACUGCACAGCACGGGACUACACGUCUAAUGUUCAUUUGACUCCAGUAGUAUUUCCUUGAAGACAAGGAGGGAGAAGAUGAAGAAAGUAUUUCUGAAAUCCCACAGCCACACAAAUAAUGGGCUGUGGGUCUCUAUCUUAAACAAAGGCCCUGAGGGGGUUCGUCGUGCCCGGGUUCUACGGCGGAUCCCCUAUGAAGCUUCCCCAAAGCAACUAUGCGUUCAAAAUCGAUCAAUACAAUAAUCCGUAACCAAUAAACUAUCUGUCAAAUCUCA